ensembl:lncRNA
CUCCACAAUACUCCUUUGAGGUCUCCCACUCUGCACCAACAUGGGCAGGAGGGCACAGCAGCAUUCUGGCCCUUUUUAUGUGCUCUUUCUUUGCGGAGAGCUGGCGGUGUUGGAAGAAAUGAACAAUGAUGCUUCCUCAUCCAAAGGGGAAAAUCAACAUGCUGUGACAAAGAGACUCCGUGUGAAUUUAGUGCCUUAGCAAAGGUAAGUCUGAGGGGAGCAUUCCAGAUGGGCAGAGUAGUUGUGCUGCAUGGAGUCUUUGAAGGACCCAGGUUCCUCCCAAUUCAUGGCUCCAUCAUCUUCCCUGUGAUAGAGCUGGCUGACAGCCUUGAGAAGAUUCUGCCCGGGGAACGGAAGAAAGCAGAGGUUGCUUGUGAUAACUUUGUGAUACUUUUGCUCCCCUUUCAUUGGAGAGAACUCAGUCAUGCCACCUUUGUCACAUGGCUAUACCUACCUGCUAGAAAGGCUGGGCAAUGCUCACCAGCUAUGGUAUUGGGAGAAAAGGAGAGCAGAUUCUGAUGGGUGGGUAGUCAGUCUGCAGUCCCCGCUAUAUAUGUAAAAAAG